CGGGACACGUGGUAUCCUGUCUGAAUAUGGGGGGACCAUCCUCCAAGGCUAAAUACUCCUGACUGACCGAUAGUGAACCAGUACCGUGAGGGAAAGGCGAAAAGAACCCCGGCGAGGGGAGUGAAAAAGAACCUGAAACCGUGUACGUACAAGCAGUGGGAGCACGCUUAGGCGUGUGACUGCGUACCUUUUGUAUAAUGGGUCAGCGACUUAUAUUCUGUAGCAAGGUUAACCGAAUAGGGGAGCCGAAGGGAAACCGAGUCUUAACUGGGCGUUAAGUUGCAGGGUAUAGACCCGAAACCCGGUGAUCUAGCCAUGGGCAGGUUGAAGGUUGGGUAACACUAACUGGAGGACCGAACCGACUAAUGUUGAAAAAUUAGCGGAUGACUUGUGGCUGGGGGUGAAAGGCCAAUCAAACCGGGAGAUAGCUGGUUCUCCCCGAAAGCUAUUUAGGUAGCGCCUCGUGAAUUCAUCUCCGGGGGUAGAGCACUGUUUCGGCAAGGGGGUCAUCCCGACUUACCAACCCGAUGCAAACUGCGAAUACCGGAGAAUGUUAUCACGGGAGACACACGGCGGGUGCUAACGUCCGUCGUGAAGAGGGAAACAACCCAGACCGCCAGCUAAGGUCCCAAAGUCAUGGUUAAGUGGGAAACGAUGUGGGAAGGCCCAGACAGCCAGGAUGUUGGCUUAGAAGCAGCCAUCAUUUAAAGAAAGCGUAAUAGCUCACUGGUCGAGUCGGCCUGCGCGGAAGAUGUAACGGGGCUAAACCAUGCACCGAAGCUGCGGCAGCGACACUGUGUGUUGUUGGGUAGGGGAGCGUUCUGUAAGCCUGCGAAGGUGUGCUGUGAGGCAUGCUGGAGGUAUCAGAAGUGCGAAUGCUGACAUAAGUAACGAUAAAGCGGGUGAAAAGCCCGCUCGCCGGAAGACCAAGGGUUCCUGUCCAACGUUAAUCGGGGCAGGGUGAGUCGACCCCUAAGGCGAGGCCGAAAGGCGUAGUCGAUGGGAAACAGGUUAAUAUUCCUGUACUUGGUGUUACUGCGAAGGGGGGACGGAGAAGGCUAUGUUGGCCGGGCGACGGUUGUCCCGGUUUAAGCGUGUAGGCUGGUUUUCCAGGCAAAUCCGGAAAAUCAAGGCUGAGGCGUGAUGACGAGGCACUACGGUGCUGAAGCAACAAAUGCCCUGCUUCCAGGAAAAGCCUCUAAGCAUCAGGUAACAUCAAAUCGUACCCCAAACCGACACAGGUGGUCAGGUAGAGAAUACCAAGGCGCUUGAGAGAACUCGGGUGAAGGAACUAGGCAAAAUGGUGCCGUAACUUCGGGAGAAGGCACGCUGAUAUGUAGGUGAAGUCCCUCGCGGAUGGAGCUGAAAUCAGUCGAAGAUACCAGCUGGCUGCAACUGUUUAUUAAAAACACAGCACUGUGCAAACACGAAAGUGGACGUAUACGGUGUGACGCCUGCCCGGUGCCGGAAGGUUAAUUGAUGGGGUCAGCGCAAGCGAAGCUCUUGAUCGAAGCCCCGGUAAACGGCGGCCGUAACUAUAACGGUCCUAAGGUAGCGAAAUUCCUUGUCGGGUAAGUUCCGACCUGCACGAAUGGCGUAAUGAUGGCCAGGCUGUCUCCACCCGAGACUCAGUGAAAUUGAACUCGCUGUGAAGAUGCAGUGUACCCGCGGCAAGACGGAAAGACCCCGUGAACCUUUACUAUAGCUUGACACUGAACAUUGAGCCUUGAUGUGUAGGAUAGGUGGGAGGCUUUGAAGUGUGGACGCCAGUCUGCAUGGAGCCGACCUUGAAAUACCACCCUUUAAUGUUUGAUGUUCUAACGUUGACCCGUGAUCCGGGUUGCGGACAGUGUCUGGUGGGUAGUUUGACUGGGGCGGUCUCCUCCUAAAGAGUAACGGAGGAGCACGAAGGUUGGCUAAUCCUGGUCGGACAUCAGGAGGUUAGUGCAAUGGCAUAAGCCAGCUUGACUGCGAGCGUGACGGCGCGAGCAGGUGCGAAAGCAGGUCAUAGUGAUCCGGUGGUUCUGAAUGGAAGGGCCAUCGCUCAACGGAUAAAAGGUACUCCGGGGAUAACAGGCUGAUACCGCCCAAGAGUUCAUAUCGACGGCGGUGUUUGGCACCUCGAUGUCGGCUCAUCACAUCCUGGGGCUGAAGUAGGUCCCAAGGGUAUGGCUGUUCGCCAUUUAAAGUGGUACGCGAGCUGGGUUUAGAACGUCGUGAGACAGUUCGGUCCCUAUCUGCCGUGGGCGCUGGAGAACUGAGGGGGGCUGCUCCUAGUACGAGAGGACCGGAGUGGACGCAUCACUGGUGUUCGGGUUGUCAUGCCAAUGGCACUGCCCGGUAGCUAAAUGCGGAAGAGAUAAGUGCUGAAAGCAUCUAAGCACGAAACUUGCCCCGAGAUGAGUUCUCCCUGACUCCUUGAGAGUCCUGAAGGAACGUUGAAGACGACGACGUUGAUAGGCCGGGUGUGUAAGCGCAGCGAUGCGUUGAGCUAACCGGUACUAAUGAACCGUGAGGCUUAACCUUACAACGCCGAAGGUGUUU
rnacentral:rRNA from 1 species